CCUACGGGAGGCAGCAGUGGGGAAUAUUGGGCAAUGGGCGCAAGCCUGACCCAGCAACGCCGCGUGAAGGAUGAAGGCCUUCGGGUUGUAAACUUCUUUUCUCAGGGACGAAGAAAGUGACGGUACCUGAGGAAUAAGCCACGGCUAACUACGUGCCAGCAGCCGCGGUAAUACGUAGGUGGCAAGCGUUAUCCGGAUUUACUGGGUGUAAAGGGCGUGUAGGCGGGGAAGCAAGGCAGAUGUGAAAACCACGGGCUCAACCUGUGGCCUGCAUUUGAAACUGUUUUUCUUGAGUACAGGAGAGGCAGGCGGAAUUCCUGGUGUAGCGGUGAAAUGCGUAGAUAUUAGGAGGAACACCAGUGGCGAAGGCAGUCUACUGGACAGCAACUGACGCUGAGGCGCGAAAGCGUGGGGAGCAAACAGGAUUAGAUACCCGAGUAGUC
rnacentral:rRNA from 1 species